rnacentral:rRNA from 1 species
AGAGUUUGAUCCUGCGGGCUCAGAACGAACGCUGGCGGUGCGCCUAACACAUGCAAGUCGAACGGGGUUGCAGUGUGAAGUUUGCUUCGGCAGGUGGAACGCUGUAACUUAGUGGCGAACGGGUGAGUAACACAUAGGUAACCAACUUCCCUUAGGAUCGGGAUACCCCCGAGAAAUCGGGCUCAAUACCGAAUAUUAUCCCAGGGAAAAAUCUUCUGGGAUGAAAGCUUCGAGCAAUCGUAGCACCUGAGGAUGGGCCUGUGGCCUAUCAGCUAGUUAGGGGUGAGGUAACGGCCCACCAAGGCAAAGACGGGUAGCCGGACUGAGAGGUCGAACGGCCACACUGGAACUGAGACACGGUCCAGACUCCUACGGGAGGCAGCAGUGGGGAAUUUUGGGCAAUGGGCGAAACUAGCCUGACCCAGCAACGCCGCGUGGAGGACGAAGAUCUUCGGAUCGUAAACUCCUGUCUAGAGGGAAGAAGAAAGUGACGGUACCUCUGGAGGAAGCCCCGGCUAACUCCGUGCCAGCAGCCGCGGUAA